rnacentral:tRNA from 1 species
UCCCAGGUGGCUCAGUGGUAAAGAAUCUGCCUGCCAGUGCAGGAGACACAGGUUCAAUACCUGGUCUGGGUC